ACCUGGCUGGCUCAGUCGGAAGAGCAUGUGACUCUUGAUCUUGGGAGUCGUGAGUACAAGCCUCAUGUCAGGUG
rnacentral:tRNA from 1 species